GCGUGCCUAAUACAUGCAAGUCGAGCGGACAGAAGGGAGCUUGCUCCCGGAUGUUAGCGGCGGACGGGUGAGUAACACGUGGGUAACCUGCCUGUAAGACUGGGAUAACUCCGGGAAACCGGAGCUAAUACCGGAUAGUUCCUUGAACCGCAUGGUUCAAGGAUGAAAGACGGUUUCGGCUGUCACUUACAGAUGGACCCGCGGCGCAUUAGCUAGUUGGUGGGGUAAUGGCUCACCAAGGCGACGAUGCGUAGCCGACCUGAGAGGGUGAUCGGCCACACUGGGACUGAGACACGGCCCAGACUCCUACGGGAGGCAGCAGUAGGGAAUCUUCCGCAAUGGACGAAAGUCUGACGGAGCAACGCCGCGUGAGUGAUGAAGGUUUUCGGAUCGUAAAGCUCUGUUGUUAGGGAAGAACAAGUGCGAGAGUAACUGCUCGCACCUUGACGGUACCUAACCAGAAAGCCA
rnacentral:rRNA from 1 species